AAUACGUGCGUCUCCGGCGAAUCGAGUGCCGAAUCUUAGCUCUUUUGUUUCUUGGGAAGGCCGGGGCGCCGGUUGCAAGGUGUACUGCCAACCUCCCAACCCCGCCCCCUUUCCUCUCUCUCUCGUUAUUUCCUGGCAAGCGGAGGCGGCGCGGGACGCCUUCUACGCGCGCUUGCAGAAGGAGGCGGACAAGAAAAGCCCACCGAGGUCCGCCUCCCCUACCUCUCCCCUCCCGAGCCCACAUCGUCAGGCAAUGCCGCCCAACCUGGGUCAAGCACUUCCAUCGGCAGUAUUUUGCCAAGAAGAGGGUGCGGAGGCUUCUCGACAGCGAUGAGUCCCGGAGAGAACCCAGCUCCCUCCCUCAGCCUCUGCUGCAGCAAGCAAUGGGGGGGGUGCAAGAAUGUGAUAGGAUCAUCAAGCAAUGAUCUGAAGGUGUCCUUUCUCCUGCAGGCUCUUUACUGUUUCGUAGAGGCUGCGAGUCACCGGCGUGAAGUGGAGGCCGAGAUCCUUGAGCCGCUGGUUCGAGAACUCAUAUGGCUGCUUCCGAGGAUUUACCUCAUCGGAGCACCUGCAAUGCCAUGAUUUUGAUCCGUGAGUACCAAGAAAUGAGCAGCAGUAUCUUCUUCUUCUAAUGCCAACAUUGGAGCAGUGGAAGAGGGCAAGACGGUAAGCAUAACAAUUGAUCUGAGUUUGACAAAAUGAUUGCUAGAAGGCUUAAAAAGUUCAGAAAAUGAUCGAGUAAUCGAGAAAUCUCACUCAAACAAAUUAAGAAAUAUAUGUUAUAGUGCCACCUAAGAGCUAUUUACAACUGUUUGUAUGAUGAGUAGAUGUAACUGAGUGAUUUUUUUUGCUUCUUAAAAAUAAUGAAUGAUGUUGAUUAUUAUUUUUUUUUAAAAAAAGAUCUAAUCGUGUUUAUCGAAUC